UACGUAGGGUGCAAGCGUUAAUCGGAAUUACUGGGCGUAAAGCGUGCGCAGGCGGUUUUGUAAGUCUGUCGUGAAAGCCCCGGGCUCAACCUGGGAAUUGCGAUGGAGACUGCAAGGCUUGAAUCUGGCAGAGGGGGGUAGAAUUCCACGUGUAGCAGUGAAAUGCGUAGAGAUGUGGAGGAACACCGAUGGCGAAGGCAGACCCCUUGGUCAAGAUUGAC
rnacentral:rRNA from 1 species